GCUUUACUGUAACUUGAAAUUGAAAUUGGACUUUAGUCGCGCAGGAUAGGUGGGAGGCGUUGAGAAUACUCUUGCGGGAGCAUUGGAGCCAUCAGUGAGAUACCACUCUUCUAAUGUUAGAUUUCUAACUUUGAACCAUCAUCUGGUCAAAGAACAGUUUCAGGCGGGCAGUUUGACUGGGGCGGUCGCCUCCCAAACGGUAACGGAGGCGUACAAAGGUUUCCUCUGAACGGGUAGAAAUCGUAUCUAGAGUGUAAAGGCAUAAGGAAGCUUGACUGUGAGACUUACAAGUCGAGCAGGGACGAAAGUCGGUCUUAGUGAUCUGGCGGUACUGAGUGGAAAGGCCGCCACUCAACGGAUAAAAGUUA
rnacentral:rRNA from 1 species